rnacentral:rRNA from 1 species
UACGAAGGGGGCUAGCGUUGCUCGGAAUCACUGGGCGUAAAGCGCACGUAGGCGGAUUGUUAAGUCAGGGGUGAAAUCCUGGAGCUCAACGUCCAGAACUGCCUUUGAUACUGGCGAUCUCGAGUCCGGGAGAGGUGAGUGGAACUGCGAGUGUAGAGGUGAAAUUCGUAGAUAUUCGCAAAGAACACCAGUGGCGAAGGCGGACUCACUGGCCCGGUACUGACGCUGAGGUGCGAAAGCG